GCAAGAACCACCACACCCAGGUGUGUUUUGUAUUUUAAAUAAAAUACAUUCUGGCUACAUUUCAUGGUGUCUGCCUGUAAUUCCAGUGACUUGGGAGGCUGAGGCAGGAAGAUGGCAAGUUCAGAGCCUGCCUCAGCAACUUAGCCAGACCAGAUCUCUAAAUGAAAAAAAUAGAAAGCCUCUAGGAAUGUAGCUCAGUGGUAGAGUAUCCUGGGUUCAAUCUCCAGUACCAAAAAGAAUGAAUAUUAUACAAGUUGAUCUCUUAAGGAAUCUCAAAGUAAACUCUUAAAAAAAAUUAUUUUUUUUAAUGUUUUUAAGGUAUUGGGGAUUGCACGCAGGGGCUCUACCACUGAGCUACACCCCUUGCCCUGAAUUGCUGAUACUUGGCCUCCAACUUGCUGUCCUCCUGCCUCAGACUCUGUAAGGAUUAUAAUGAUGCUUCAUCACUGCACCAUGCAGAGUAAAUACUUUUGAAAAAAAGGAUUUUUAGAUUUUCAUGAAGCCAAAGCAAAUUUUCUGACUCUAAUUUAUUUUAAAACUUAACUACUCAGAAGAAUAUGAUGUCUGAAAAUUGUUGUCUUAGUUAUUUGCCUGCUCUGUGCCAGCUCUAGGUAAACAUGUUCCAUGAGGUUAUGAAACUUCCCCUUCUGUUAUGAUUCCAACAACCCUGUCAGGGCAAACAGGUAACCUAGUCUGUGAAAUGAACUGCAGAGGUAAAGAGCUCCUCUCUCGCUGGGCACAGUGGCACAUGCCUAUAAUCCCAGUGGCUCUGGAAGCCGAGGCAGGAGGAUUGUGAGUUCAAAGCCAGCCUUAGCAAUUUAGCGAGGCCCUAAGCAACUUAAUGAUACCCUAUCUCAAAAUAAAAUAUAAAAAAGAGCUGGUGAUGUGUCUCAGUCCUUAAGCCCCUCUGGGUUUUAUCUCUGGUACAAAAAAUAAAAUAAAAUAAAACAAAACAAAACAAAAAAACACCCAACAAAAACCCCUCCUCUCUCU
rnacentral:lncRNA from 1 species